GAUGAACGCUGGCGGCGUGCCUAAUACAUGCAAGUCGAGCGAACGGACGAGAAGCUUGCUUCUCUGAUGUUAGCGGCGGACGGGUGAGUAACACGUGGAUAACCUACCUAUAAGACUGGGAUAACUUCGGGAAACCGGAGCUAAUACCGGAUAAUAUUUUGAACCGCAUGGUUCAAAAGUGAAAGACGGUCUUGCUGUCACUUAUAGAUGGAUCCGCGCUGCAUUAGCUAGUUGGUAAGGUAACGGCUUACCAAGGCAACGAUGCAUAGCCGACCUGAGAGGGUGAUCGGCCACACUGGAACUGAGACACGGUCCAGACUCCUACGGGAGGCAGCAGUAGGGAAUCUUCCGCAAUGGGCGAAAGCCUGACGGAGCAACGCCGCGUGAGUGAUGAAGGUCUUCGGAUCGUAAAACUCUGUUAUUAGGGAAGAACAUAUGUGUAAGUAACUGUGCACAUCUUGACGGUACCUAAUCAGAAAGCCACGGCUAACUACGUGCCAGCAGCCGCGGUAAUACGUAGGUGGCAAGCGUUAUCCGGAAUUAUUGGGCGUAAAGCGCGCGUAGGCGGUUUUUUAAGUCUGAUGUGAAAGCCCACGGCUCAACCGUGGAGGGUCAUUGGAAACUGGAAAACUUGAGUGCAGAAGAGGAAAGUGGAAUUCCAUGUGUAGCGGUGAAAUGCGCAGAGAUGUGGAGGAACACCAGUGGCGAAGGCGACUUUCUGGUCUGUAACUGACGCUGAUGUGCGAAAGCGUGGGGAUCAAACAGGAUUAGAUACCCUGGUAGUCCACGCCGUAAACGAUGAGUGCUAAGUGUUAGGGGGUUUCCGCCCCUUAGUGCUGCAGCUAACGCAUUAAGCACUCCGCCUGGGGAGUACGACCGCAAGGUUGAAACUCAAAGGAAUUGACGGGGACCCGCACAAGCGGUGGAGCAUGUGGUUUAAUUCGAAGCAACGCGAAGAACCUUACCAAAUCUUGACAUCCUUUGACAACUCUAGAGAUAGAGCCUUCCCCUUCGGGGGACAAAGUGACAGGUGGUGCAUGGUUGUCGUCAGCUCGUGUCGUGAGAUGUUGGGUUAAGUCCCGCAACGAGCGCAACCCUUAAGCUUAGUUGCCAUCAUUAAGUUGGGCACUCUAAGUUGACUGCCGGUGACAAACCGGAGGAAGGUGGGGAUGACGUCAAAUCAUCAUGCCCCUUAUGAUUUGGGCUACACACGUGCUACAAUGGACAAUACAAAGGGCAGCGAAACCGCGAGGUCAAGCAAAUCCCAUAAAGUUGUUCUCAGUUCGGAUUGUAGUCUGCAACUCGACUACAUGAAGCUGGAAUCGCUAGUAAUCGUAGAUCAGCAUGCUACGGUGAACACGUUCCCGGGUCU
rnacentral:rRNA from 1 species